rnacentral:rRNA from 1 species
AACGUAGGACGCAAGCGUUAUCCGGAGUUACUGGGCGUAAAGCGCGGGCAGGCGGCCUCGCAAGUCUGAUGUGAAAGCACUCUGCUCAACAGAGUGAUGCCAUUGGAAACUACAAGGCUGGAGUCUGGCAGAGGUAGGCGGAAUUCCGGGUGGAGUGGUGAAAUGCGUAGAUAUCAAGAGGAACACCAGUGGCGAAGGCGAGUCCCUGGACAAUUCCUGACACUGAGGCACGAAAGCUAGGGGAGCAAACAGG